CAGCCGCCGCGGUAAUACCGGCGGCCCGAGUGGCGGCCACUAUUAUUGGGCCUAAAGCGUCCGUAGCCGGGCUGGUAAGGCCUCCGGGAAAUCUGGUCGCUUAACGAUCAGACUUCCGGAGGAUACUGCUGGCCUAGGGACCGGGAGAGGCCGAGGGGAUUCCCGGGGUAGGGGUGAAAUCCUGUAAUCCCGGGAGGACCACCUGUGGCGAAGGCGCUCGGCUGGAACGGGUCCGACGGUGAGGGACGAAGGCCAGGGGAGCGAACCGGAUUAGAUACCCGGGUAGUCCUGGCGGUAAACGAUGCGGACUAGGUGUCGGGCAAGCUAAGGGCUUGUCCGGUGCCGCAGGGAAGCCGUUAAGUCCGCCGCCUGGGGAGUACGGCCGCAAGGCUGAAACUUAAAGGAAUUGGCGGG
rnacentral:rRNA from 1 species